rnacentral:other from 1 species
CACCGACGGUCUGAUGCGAGACCCGAGGCAACACUAUCUCCUACAAAUGCUAUCCAGGGAUCUGCCUCUGAUCUGGGAGUGCACGCCCGCUCGUCGGGAAGCCCAAAGGAUUACUGUGGAGCCCACCUACGCAAACGCGUAGGGGAUGGAAAGCCUCACGGUCGGACGGUCGUGCU